GACGUUCUGGGAUAAGAGCCACCAACUGGCCCUGAUUCCUGGAGAGGUCACCUGCUUGGGUCUCAUGACGCAAGGAAGCUCUGUUCCGUAGGAUACACAACAGACACCAUGCUGGGGAAGCGUGACUCAGAGGCAAGGAAAGCAGGGAGGAGAGACUCCCGGGAGGAGAUGAGAGAGGCUGCAUGCAUUUCAGGAUCCAGUUCAAACUAGCCCCUGCCAGGGCGAGGUGUUCCACGCUUUCCAAAGUGUACCACGUCCAUUUUCUCUGUGACCUAGAGACAGGCCUGCCAAGCGGGCUUGUGUGAGGUCACCGUGCCCCGUGCGUGCCGCCCGCCCUCCAAAGCCUCGUGCAUCCAUUCCUUCCCCUCCAUCGCACCUCAGCCCUGAUCAUCUCUCAAGGGUGAGGCAAUAGGUUUCUGCUCGGCUCCCGCUCCCGGCUUGUGCCCUCUAGCCGCCUGAGUGAUCAUUCUGCACUACAAAUUUGUUCAUUCUGCAGUUGGCUGAACAGCCUCCCACAGCCGCCGGAGGGAGCAGAAUAAAAUUCUGACUUCUUUGCACCCAA